rnacentral:rRNA from 1 species
GUAGGGAAUAUUGCACAAUGGGGGAAACCCUGAUGCAGCGACUCCGCGUGAGUGAUGAAGGCCUUCGGGUCGUAAAGCUCUGUCGUAUGGGACUAACACAAUGAAGGUACCAUGCAAGAAAGGAUCGGCUAACUUCGUGCCAGCAGCCGCGGUAAGACGAGGGAUCCUAGCGUUGUUCGGAAUCAUUGGGCGUAAAGCGGGUGUAGGCGGAUUUAUAAGUCAGGUGUGAAAUCCCAGGGCUCAACCCUGGAAGUGCACUUGAUACUGUAAAUCUUGAGUGUGGUAGAGGUUACUGGAAUUGUUGGUGUAGUGGUGAAAUACGUAGAUAUCAACAGGAAUACCGGAGGCGAAGGCGAGUAACUGGGCCAACACUGACGCUGAGACCCGAAAGCGUGGGGAUCAAACAGGAUUAGAAACCCGUGUAGUCC